CUAGAAUUGACUAUGGCAAGUUUUCAGCUUUUGAAUGAGUUAGAUAAGGCUUUCCAACUUUUGAUACAAGACCUUGCUGAUGCAACCGGAGAAGGAAACUUCCGAGCAUCAGAAACAAAGAUACCAUGAACUGGGUAGUUCUGAGAGUCUUUAUUCAACAUGCUGCUGGUAUCCCCUUCUCUGUCAAAC